UAAAUGUUUUGAUAAUUAGUGUUUUUCCAAAUGUCUGAAUAAAAAUUACUUAUUGCAGAAUGGUACUUUUUUCCUGGGGGGUAAAUAUUUCGCACAGCUGGUGCAACCCUGCCCAGGUGUCUGCACGCAAAUCAGAAUUGAGAUGGACAUCAGAAAAUUAUUUGGACGAAGCAGGGACAGGAAAGCAGAAAGGAGAGUUGAGUUUGAGAGAGUGAAGAAAACAGCGUCUUCUCGACAUAUCGGCAACACAAACCAACUCAUCCUGGCCUCUGCUAUAACCACAGCUGGACUGGUAAUCUGGCA